rnacentral:tRNA from 1 species
GCCCGUGUGUUCUAGUGGUUCAUGAAGUGGGACUUUGAAUCCCGAAGCCAGGUUCGAAUCCCUGCAUGGGCU